GAAGGCAACAUUACAAAAUCGUUUAGGAUCCCGAGCAGCAGGAAGGAAGAGCAGCUUGCGGAUGCCAGCAUGUUCAGGGUUUGUGGGGAGGUUCACAGACAUCCUCAGGGAGGAUACGAAGUAUUGAAAUGUCCGGAUGAAUAAAAGAGACAGUCAUCUGUGCAGCAUGAAUGCAAAGAAAGACCAUAGAAGAGCAACAGUGAGUGAUAAAUAUUGGUACUGGGACACACAAAGGCUGGUCUGGCUAAUGUGACAAGACCAACCAAUGCCAAGCUGGAGUGGAAUCCUUCCAGGACAUUCAAGAAAUU